rnacentral:rRNA from 1 species
GUGUUUGGCAUCCUAGAGAUAGGACGUCCCCUUCGGGGGCAGAGUGACAGGUGGUGCAUGGUUGUCGUCAGUCGUGGCGUGAGAUGUUGGGUUAAGUCCCGCAACGAGCGCAACCCUUGAUCUUAGUUGCCAGCAUUCAGUUGGGCACUCUAAGGUGACUGCCGGUGACAAACCGGAGGAAGGUGGGGAUGACGUCAAAUCAUCAUGCCCCUUAUGACCUGGGCUACACACGUGCUACAAUGGACAGAACAAAGGGCAGCGAAACCGCGAGGUUAAGCCAAUCCCACAAAUCUGUUCUCAGUUCGGAUCGCAGUCUGCAACUCGACUGCGUGAAGCUGGAAUCGCUAGUAAUCGCGGAUCAGCAUGCCGCGGUGAAUACGUUCCCGGGUCUUGUACACACCGA